rnacentral:rRNA from 1 species
AAUGAACGCUGGCGGCAUGCCUAACACAUGCAAGUCGAACGGCAGCACAGUGAGCUUUUGCUCUUACGGGUGGCGCGUGGCGGACGUGUGACGAGUACAUCAUAUUCUACUUUUUCGUGGGUUAUAACGUAGGACAACUUCCUCUAACACCUCAUAUUUCCUACCGCUUAGAGCAGUGGAUCUUGGCACCUUUCUUGAUUCACUGAGCCGAUGUCGGAUUAGCUUGUUUGCGGGGUAAAGUCCCACCAUGGCAACGAUCCGUAGCUGGUCUGAGAGGAUGAUCCGCCACACUGGAACUGAGACACGGUCCAGACUCCUACGGGAGGCAGCAGUGGGGAAUAUUGGGCAAUGGGCGAAAGCCUGAUCCAGCCAUACCGCGUGGGUGAAGAAGGCCUUCGGGUUGUAAAGCCCUGUUGUUGGGAAAGAAAAGAAGCAGGUUAAUACCCGGCGGUUCUGACGGUACCCAAAGAAUAAGCACCGGCUAACUUCGUG